GAUGUCGGCUCAUCACAUCCUGGGGCUGUAGUAGGUCCCAAGGGUUGGGCUGUUCGCCCAUUAAAGUGGUACGCGAGCUGGGUUCAGAACGUCGUGAGACAGUUCGGUCCCUAUCCGUCGCAGGCGUAGGAAAUUUGAGAAGACCUGUCCUUAGUACGAGAGGACCGGGAUGGACGUAUCUCUGGUGUACCAGUUGUCCUGCCAAGGGCAUGGCUGGGUAGCUAUGUACGGAAUGGAUAAGCGCUGAAAGCAUCUAAGCGCGAAGCCAACUUCAAGAUAAGAUUUCCC
rnacentral:rRNA from 1 species